AGCGAACGCUGGCGGCAGGCCUAACACAUGCAAGUCGAACGAACCUUUCGGGGUUAGUGGCGGACGGGUGAGUAACACGUGGGAACGUGCCUUUAGGUUCGGAAUAACUCAGGGAAACUUGUGCUAAUACCGAAUGUGCCCUUCGGGGGAAAGAUUAAUCGCCUUUAGAGCGGCCCGCGUCUGAUUAGCUAGUUGGUUGAGGUAAUGGCUCACCAAGGCGACGAUCAGUAGCUGGUCUGAGAGGAUGAUCAGCCACAUUGGGACUGACACGGCCCAAACUCCUACGGGAGGCAGCAGUGGGGAAUCUUGCGCAAUGGGCGAAAGCCUGACGCAGCCAUGCCGCGUGAAUGAUGAAGGUCUUAGGAUUGUAAAAUUCUUUCACCGGGGACGAUAAUGACGGUACCCGGAGAAGAAGCCCCGGCUAACUUCGUG
rnacentral:rRNA from 1 species